UACGUAGGGUGCAAGCGUUACUCGGAAUUACUGGGCGUAAAGCGUGCGCAGGCGGUUCGGAAAGAAAGAUGUGAAAUCCCAGGGCUUAACCUUGGAACUGCAUUUUUAACUGCCGGGCUAGAGUAUGUCAGAGGGGGGUAGAAUUCCACGUGUAGCAGUGAAAUGCGUAGAGAUGUGGAGGAAUACCGAUGGCGAAGGCAGCCCCCUGGGAUGAUACUGACGCUCAUGCACGAAAGCGUGGGGAGCAAACAGG
rnacentral:rRNA from 1 species